rnacentral:ncRNA from 23 species
AUCGUAUCCAGAGUACGAGGAUGCUAAGAGAACUGGCUCGACGCCUCGCCCGCAACCCUUAAGGAAACUUAGAAUGGGUGCGAACUCCAGCCCUUAUUGGGGUAGAUACUUU